AGAGUUUGAUCCUGGCUCAGAGCGAACGCUGGCGGCAGGCCUAACACAUGCAAGUCGAACGAACUCUUCGGAGUUAGUGGCGGACGGGUGAGUAACACGUGGGAACGUGCCUUUAGGUUCGGAAUAACUCAGGGAAACUUGUGCUAAUACCGAAUGUGCCCUUCGGGGGAAAGAUUUAUCGCCUUUAGAGCGGCCCGCGUCUGAUUAGCUAGUUGGUGAGGUAAAGGCUCACCAAGGCGACGAUCAGUAGCUGGUCUGAGAGGAUGAUCAGCCACAUUGGGACUGAGACACGGCCCAAACUCCUACGGGAGGCAGCAGUGGGGAAUCUUGCGCAAUGGGCGAAAGCCUGACGCAGCCAUGCCGCGUGAAUGAUGAAGGUCUUAGGAUUGUAAAAUUCUUUCACCGGGGACGAUAAUGACGGACCCGAGAAG
rnacentral:rRNA from 2 species